UAGAUCAGAUCUCUUUCACUGUCAUAAUUUUUUCAUUGACACAAUCUUUACAAAGGUGGUUUCUACAAUGGGUAUUAAACAAGUUGCAGUCUCUGUAUGUUGGUUCUCUCCUUUCCAAGUGCAGGCUCAAACCAGAAUCCACUGAAUGCCCAAGCUUGCCAAUUAGAAAACUUCAGCAGGUACAACCAGGAAACUGACAAAAGAAACAUGAAGAUCAUAAAUUAUAGUGUUGACUUCUGGCUCUCCCUCUUAUCUUCUGCACAACUGAAGAACAAUUCAUGUAAAUAACUUCGAUGUCUGAAUUAAAAUUUGAUUUUUAAUUUGUGUUCAAAAGUCAAAAAUGUGCAGGUGUUACUGAAACCACUGGUGUGUGACCAAAAGGUUUUCCCACACUAAGCACAAAGAAAGGACUGUUCUUUGGUUGGUGAUUACAACAGCUAUUUAUA